GCCCGAGUACCUCAGUCGGCAGAGGGUUCGACUCGUAAUCGAAACGUCGCGGGUUCGAUUCCCGCCUCGGGCU
rnacentral:tRNA from 2 species